UGAUUACCUAGACAUUUCCUCCAAAUUCUGCUCAGUGAGAGAGAAGUGGACCCAAACACCUGUCUUCCUGGUGUUCCACGGACACUCUUUUUCUAACCACUAUCGGAAGCAUUUUCAUUUUCCAACUGUGUUUUUCUCUUUCCUCUUCCUUCCAAUAUAUCUGGAAACCCAUUUUCUAUGCAUUUUUCUAUCCCGUCCCUAAACUCUAACACGAAUUCUUUUCAAAAACCAGCAUCCCAAUAGGCGGCCUGGUUUUUCCGAAUUCAAGAGCCUGGUUUACCAGUAACCAGAGUUCCCUGUUUUUCUUCAACCAUCAGUUUACUGCCAAAUUGAUGUUUGCCUGUCUCUCUUAAUCUAGUUUACCAGUAACUAGAUCUGUUUUUCCCCUCACAUCUUACAUCCUGUGACCUCUGAACAGUUCUGGCAUAUAUUUUCUGAAUAUCAUAUCAUGGCAUAUAUUUUCUGAAUAUCAUAUCAUGGCAUCUGAGUUUAUGAAUAACUCAUCUGACUAUCAUUGAGAAUCUGAGAGAAUCUCCCCUCUCACUGCUCUGUCUUUCCUAUCAACCUCUCUCCACCGUAAAAGUAAAUAACUGGGAAGCUUGACACUUCUAAGACGUCUUGUUAAGUAAUAAUUUAAUAAGUUUGAAAAGCUUCCAUUUAAAAAUUGGCUGAAAAUAAAUAAUUACUCAAACAGGUCAACUAAAAACUUGAUCUGUAUAAAUUUUAAAAUUGAAAGCAAAGUUUGUUUUCCACUGAACUACAUUGCUCCAAUUCUAAUUGGAUUUAAGUAAAGCUCUGGUCUUGUCUGACGAAAUAUAUUUAUAGAGCACUAUUGGCAUAAAGUCGAAAACAGUAAAAAGUUUGAUAUUUCUAAGACGUCUUUUUGAGUAAUCUGAUUUGGACCUGAAGUUUAAAAAAAACAACUUCUAUUUCAAAAUUGGAUUAUAUUUUAAAUUUCUGAAACAGAUCAGCUAAAUACUUGAUCUGUAUACAUUUAAGAACUGAAAAUCUACUGAGCUAAAUUUUUAUUGAACAAAAUUUCAAUUGGACUGAAGUAAAGCUCAUUUCUUAUCUGAGCUGCCUAAUUCGUGUUCCUGCCUGCUGCUACUGACUUUGGACUGAACUUCAGGUUUGUGCACAG